rnacentral:rRNA from 1 species
GACGAACGCUGGCGGCGUGCUUAACACAUGCAAGUCGAACGGUGAAAGGGAGCUUGCUCCCUGGAUCAGUGGCGAACGGGUGAGUAACACGUGGGCAACCUGCCCCUGACUCUGGGAUAACGCUUCGAAAGAGGUGCUAAUACCGGAUACGACCUCCCUUGGCAUCUUGGGCGUUGGAAAGUUUUUCGGUCAGGGAUGGGCCCGCGGCCUAACAGCUUGUUGGUGAGGUAACGGCUCACCAAGGCGACGACGGGUAGCCGGCCUGAGAGGGCGACCGGCCACACUGGGACUGAGACACGGCCCAGACUCCUACGGGAGGCAGCAGUGGGGAAUAUUGCGCAAUGGGCGAAAGCCUGACGCAGCAACGCCGCGUGAGGGAUGACGGCCUUCGGGUUGUAAACCUCUUUCAGCAGGGAAGAAGCGAAAGUGACGGUACCUGCAGAAGAAGCACCGGCUAACUACGUGCCAGCCGCCGCAGUAACAC